AACGAACGCUGGCGGCAGGCUUAACACAUGCAAGUCGAACGGAUGCGUCGGGAUUAUGGGCGGAUGGGUGCGUAAGGCGUGGGAACGGACCCUUUGCUACGGAAUGACUCAUGGAGACUUGUGCUAAUACCGCUGGGGCUCUACGCGCGUAGGAUUUAUCGACCAAGGAUCGGCCCGCGUUCGAGUAGCUAGUUGGUGGGGUAAUCGCCUACCAUGGCGAAGAUGCAUAGCUGGUCUGAGAGGAUGAUCAGCCACACUGGGACUGAGACACGGCCCAGCCUCCUCCGGGAGGCAGCAGUGCGGAAUAUUGGACACUGGCCGCAAGCCUGAUCCAGCCAUGUCGGGUGAGUGAUGAAGGUCUUAGGAUUGUAAAGCUCUUUCACCGGUGAAGAUACUGACGGUAGCCGGAGAAGAAGCCCCGGCUACCUUCGUG
rnacentral:rRNA from 1 species